rnacentral:rRNA from 1 species
AUUGAACGCUGGCGGCAUGCCUUACACAUGCAAGUCGAACGGCAGCACGGGUGAUUGCACCUGGUGGCGAGUGGCGAACGGGUGAGUAAUACAUCGGAACAUGUCCUGUAGUGGGGGAUAGCCCGGCGAAAGCCGGAUUAAUACCGCAUACGAUCUACGGAUGAAAGCGGGGGACCUUCGGGCCUCGCGCUAUCGGGUUGGCCGAUGGCUGAUUAGCUAGUUGGUGGGGUAAAGGCCUACCAAGGCGACGAUCAGUAGCUGGUCUGAGAGGACGACCAGCCACACUGGGAGUGAGACACGGCCCAGACUCCUACGGGAGGCAGCAGUGGGGAAUUUUGGACAAUGGGCGAAAGCCUGAUCCAGCAAUGCCGCGUGUGUGAAGAAGGCCUUCGGGUUGUAAAGCACUUUUGUCCGGAAAGAAAUCCUUGGCCCUAAUACGGUCGGGGGAUGACGGUACCGGAAGAAUAAGCACCGGCUAACUACGUG